GACCCAAUUUUGAAUUGGAUAUGGGAUAAAUAUAGAUAUAGAUAUGAAAUUUUUUAUUAUAAUAUAAAAUUAGAUAUUGACUAAUCCGUUUCAGAUCUGUCGCCAUCUUUAAGUAUAAUAGUUAUCUAUCUUUGAGAUGGAUGACAUUUUAACUCUCCCUUGCACAAUACUCUUCGAUACAAACUAAGUACCAUAAGGGAUCUUGACUUACCUUAGAAACCUCUACCACUUUAAUUGCACAUAGGACUCUCAAUUAGAACUAAAAGGGGUCGUCUUUCACAAGAAAAAAGAAAGAAAAGGAGAGGGUUGGUUGGAAGCUAUAGCUGAAAGAGAAGUCCAC
rnacentral:lncRNA from 1 species